AAAUAAAUUAUGCAACUUGUGAUAGCUUAGACUUUCACGUAAUUCUAAUAAACCCAUCUUUCAGAAAACUAGAUCACACUCCUUGACAUUCUCGCGAAAAUUCAUUCAUUGAAUACCGCGUACUAUUCAUGCGACCUUAAAAAUUUUACCAAUGAAGUUAACGACUUGAAUUCAUGCUGAACCAAGUUCCAAUUCCCGUGUCGGUACUAUGCUAUUAUAAGGGUCACAGAAUGAUAGCUAACAAAUAAAUCUUUUCACAACAAAACUAGGUUCAUAAACUGACAGACCAUAAGGUUGCCUUCUUUCCAUCGAGCUAAACAUAUCACUCAUCUAACCCGGGAAGAGUAAGAAUUUUUGAAACCUUGCGGCAAUCUCCAACAGACGUCGACCAAAUAAUCCGGUCGCAUUUUUUGAUAAUGUGUCCAGACUCUGUUUUCUCAGAACAUGAAGCUAGGCAUGAGUGGGGAGCUAACAACAGCCAAAUAGAUUUAGACUCACAAAUCUGACCUGAGCUAGCUGUACAUUGGUACACGAGGGAGGCUACCUGAUCCGAAUGCAUCAAGAUAGAUCGACGCAGUCAGGUGUGUUCCUUCUCUGCCAGUCUUCUGACCGCAGGUACCUCCACAUCCUUUUGAAAUUGCUAUAAAAAGUGGUCUUUCAACUAUCUAAGAUAGGACAUUAUUUUCAGCUGCCGAGAAUCAGCCAACGGCGUUCUCAUUGUUCAAGGAAUCUUUUUUCAAACUCCACCAUCAAAAAGCUUCCCAGCACAAGUUGUACUACUGGCUCUACAAUGCUACAGCUCUUCUGCGCAGCGGUAACCAGAUCAAGGCAAUCUCAUAAGAAAGCAUGCGCUCUUGCUUAAAACUUGGUCCAUCUAGCUCACGAUUCCGGUAUCCACUAAACCCACACUGUUUCUCCACCACACCAACACUUGAUUACGAAGCACAAAAGCCUAGCAGCAGCAGCAGAAGCAGCAGACGCUUUCACAUGUACAAAAUGUCCAACAUCGACUUGGGACAUAUUAUUAUUUAACAAUUAAUAGAAAGGUAUACACAUAGAAAAACUAUGACAUCUUGCUUAUCUUUAUGCAGAUGUGGCAUACUUUAAGCAUUGCUCAACACAUUAAAACAUUUAUUCAAGCAGAGCCAAAUAAUGGUUUAGAAAGACUCCUAAAAGAAACAAGUACAAUACAGGGAUUACAAACACGGAGCACAAUUAUCCAGAUACUGUCAUUGUCUUUAAUGUUGAUCAGGGCAUUUGGAGAAUAGAUAGUUGGAAACAUGUUUGCUAUUAGCUUCAAAAGACACAAAAAUAAGCAUGUCAAUCAAAUAAAAUAAGACAUGUAAGUAUCUAUUAUGGAUCUACAUAUUGUUUCCUCCAAAGAAAUAAAAUAUGUUUAUAAAAAUCUUGAUGCCAACAAAAGUGAUAUGUCUAGUUAAUAUUUACUAAAUCUUUGAUAAGAUAAAAACUCACAGCUAUACACAAUUUGCAAAAAGGCAAUUUCUCAAAAGAUAAUAUAAUAAAGUGACAAAGUUGACAAAAGAAUAAAAUAAAAAUAAAAAUACUACUUAAGAACUCUACUAAAUAUCAUUACUGAAAAUUGCACUUACACCCAAGAGAUAUUCAUAAGUUUAGGCAUAAAAGGUUUUAUUUGUGUAAAACUUCAGAAAAUUGUGAAUUUCCAAUUAUUUAGACAAACAUAUGAUUAAUAGGACCAUAAAAAUAUACAAAAUAUUAUGGCAAUUCUAGAAGUGUUGAAAAAUGUUUGUCACCUCUAAGACCAAGAAACAUUUCAAGUUGUUUUUGAUGAAUGUUGUCCACCCAUAAGCUCCAAUAUCUAUGUUGUAGUAUAAUGGCAAGGUCUUGUACUAUUGAUUUCUUGCUUUUUGAUUCUUCAUUAAAAAUUUCAACUAUAUAGCUAUGCAUUGCUUUCGAGCCUCAUCAAACAACACAAGACAAAGUUUUUAAGUCCAAAAAGUAAUAAACUAAUAAAGUAUCAUUAAUCUUACUUAUUUAAAGACAUAAAAAGAAUUAGAAAAUAAUAUCUUGGAUCAUUUUUGCUACUUUAAAUAUUCAACAAGAACACAUAUAACAUAAGAGACUAAACUAGAAUGAAGGAAGAAUUGGAAGAUAAAAUGAUGUAAAAAAAUAUAAAUCACAUUUAUUACAAAAGCAAGAAAUCAACUUAUUAAAAAAACCUAUUGAAUAAUUCAAAAAAGAUUUAAAAUAAUAAGGAAAUUUUUAAAAUAAAUCAUAUUUAUAUAGAGCAUAGCAUGAUUAUCUUUAGCAAUAAGAAAUAAAUUAGCCAUCUAAGUUAAUGGCUUAAAUAAAAUAAAAUAUUAGAAUUUAUCAAUAAUCAUGUCAAAUCUUUUACAAGGCUUAUUAGAAUAAGGAUAGUUUCAAGUAGUAAAUUUGGUAUUGUCAUCAAUAUAGAAUAUGUACCUUGCAGCAAUAUCAAAGCGCUUCUCUUAACUACAUAGAAGAGGCUGAGGUGACAAGUUUUGGUUAGGUCCACUCUACUAGAUUGAAAAUAUUUAUCAAAAUCUAAUGGUGAUUCUAACCUAUAAUACUACUCAAUAAAAACUUGUAUUGCACUAAAAAAAAUAAAAAUAAAAAUAAAAAUAAAAAAAAUAAUGAUAUUAGUCAUAUCUAAGAAAUCUACACUAUUAAAUAAAAUAAUGCUUGUGAAAAUCUAGAAACUACUCUUAUAGGCUCUUUUAUUAGUAAAAUUUAUAUUUAUAGCAUUGAUUUGGAGGUCAUAUUUUGUAAGUUCAAAUCCAAUAAUAAUUAUAUGAUCUUUGAGAUUUGUCAAUAAAGAUUUUACUAUGUGAAGCACUCUAAGUAGUUUUGUAUUUAUGUACUAAUUGAAGCUGAUGAUGGUUACACUUGCAUUUGGCAACUUUUUUCUUGAUUUGAAAUAAUUAAUAGAUUGUACAAAAUGAUCCGUAAAGAGAACGUCUAGCUUUCCAACACUAAUUUGAAGUAAAUUAGCACACAUUAUAUAAGAUUUGUCUAUUUCAAUAAUAUUAAUACCACUGAUUCUAUUUUUAACAUCAAGAUUUUGAUAUAAAGAGAACAAUCUAUCGUAAUAAAAAACAAAUCCAACAUAUAUGUCUCUUUUAGCUACAAAUAUCUUGGCCUCAGCUAUUUGAAAUUGGAUCUCUAUCUCCUACCAUAUAUGCAUAGUUUAUCUAUACCAUAGAUAAAUAUUGAAUGGAACAUGAUAAGUUUGUGAUAGAUUGAAAGGCCACACUAAUUGUUCAUACUUGAUUUCAUUUUUUACAAAAUAAAUAAAUAAAUAAAUAAAUAAAUAAAUAAAUAAAUAAUAGAAAUCAAGAGAUAAAAUACAUUGUAAUGAACUGCACUCUUAUGGAU
rnacentral:lncRNA from 1 species